rnacentral:rRNA from 1 species
UAAUAGCUCACUAGUCGAGUCGGCCUGCGCGGAAGAUUUAACGGGGCUCAAACCAUACACCGAAGCUACGGGUAUCAUCUUAGGAUGAUGCGGUAGAGGAGCGUUCUGUAAGCCUGUGAAGGUGAGUUGAGAAGCUUGCUGGAGGUAUCAGAAGUGCGAAUGCUGACAUGAGUAACGACAAUGGGUGUGAAAAACACCCACGCCGAAAGACCAAGGUUUCCUGCGCAACGUUAAUCGACGCAGGGUUAGUCGGUCCCUAAGGCGAGGCUGAAAAGCGUAGUCGAUGGAAAACAGGUUAAUAUUCCUGUACUUCUGGUUAUUGCGAUGGAGGGACGGAGAAGGCUAGGCCAGCUUGGCGUUGGUUGUCCAAGUUUAAGGUGGUAGGCUGGAAUCUUAGGUAAAUCCGGGAUUCUAAGGCCGAGAGCUGAUGACGAGUUAUCUUUUAGAUAACGAAGUGGUUGAUGCCAUGCUUCCAAGAAAAGCUUCUAAGCUUCAGAUAACCAGGAACCGUACCCCAAACCGACA